rnacentral:rRNA from 1 species
CACGUAGGGUGCGAGCGUUGUCCGGAAUUAUUGGGCGUAAAGAGCUCGUAGGCGGUGUGUCGCGUCGGCCGUGAAAACCUGCAGCUUAACUGUGGGCGUGCGGUCGAUACGGGCAUCACUGGAGUUCGGCAGGGGAGACUGGAAUUCCUGGUGUAGCGGUGAAAUGCGCAGAUAUCAGGAGGAACACCGGUGGCGAAGGCGGUUCUCUGGGCCUUACCUGACGCUGAGGAGCGAAAGCGUGGGGAGCAAACAGG